UACGAAGGGCGCAAGCGUUACUCGGAAUUACUGGGCGUAAAGCGUGCGUAGGUGGUUUGUUAAGUCCGAUGUGAAAGCCCUGGGCUCAACCUGAGAAUGGCAUUGGAUACUGGCAGGCUAGAGUGCGGUAGAGGGCAGUGGAAUUCCCGGUGUAGCAGUGAAAUGCGUAGAGAUCGGGAGGAACAUCUGUGGCGAAGGCGACUGCCUGGACCAGCACUGACACUGAGGCACGAAAGCGUGGGGAGCAAACAGG
rnacentral:rRNA from 1 species